rnacentral:rRNA from 1 species
UGAUGAACGCUAGCGACAGGCUUAACACAUGCAAGUCGAGGGGCAGCACAGGUAGCAAUACCGGGUGGCGACCGGCGCACGGGUGAGUAACGCGUAUGCAACUUACCUAUCAGAGGGGGAUAACCCGGCGAAAGUCGGACUAAUACCGCAUGAAGCAGGGGCCCCGCAUGGGGAUAUUUGCUAAAGAUUCAUCGCUGAUAGAUAGGCAUGCGUUCCAUUACGCAGUUGGCGGGGUAACGGCCCACCAAACCGACGAUGGAUAGGGGUUCUGAGAGGAAGGUCCCCCACAUUGGUACUGAGACACGGACCAAACUCCUACGGGAGGCAGCAGUGAGGAAUAUUGGUCAAUGGCCGAGAGGCUGAACCAGCCAAGUCGCGUGAGGGAUGAAGGUUCUAUGGAUCGUAAACCUCUUUUAUAAGGGAAUAAAGUGCGGGACGUGUCCCGUUUUGUAUGUACCUUAUGAAUAAGGAUCGGCUAACUCCGUGCCAGCAGCCGCGGUAAUACGGAGGAUCCGAGCGUUAUCCGGAUUUAUUGGGUUUAAAGGGUGCGUAAGCGGCCUUUUAAGUCAGCGGUGAAAGUCUGUGGCUCAACCAUAGAAUUGCCGUUGAAACUGGGGGGCUUGAGUAUGUUUGAGGCACGCGGAAUGCGUGGUGUAGCGGUGAAAUGCAUAGAUAUCACGCAGAACCCCGAUUGCGAAGGCAGCCUGCCAAGCCAUUACUGACGCUGAUGCACGAAAGCGUGGGGAUCAAACAGGAUUAGAUACCCUGGUAGUCCACGCAGUAAACGAUGAUCACUAGCUGUUUGCGAUACACUGUAAGCGGCACAGCGAAAGCGUUAAGUGAUCCACCUGGGGAGUACGCCGGCAACGGUGAAACUCAAAGGAAUUGACGGGGGCCCGCACAAGCGGAGGAACAUGUGGUUUAAUUCGAUGAUACGCGAGGAACCUUACCCGGGUUUGAACGCAUUCGGACCGAGGUGGAAACACCUUUUCUAGCAAUAGCCGUUUGCGAGGUGCUGCAUGGUUGUCGUCAGCUCGUGCCGUGAGGUGUCGGCUUAAGUGCCAUAACGAGCGCAACCCUUGCCACUAGUUACUAACAGGUAAAGCUGAGGACUCUGGUGGGACUGCCAGCGUAAGCUGCGAGGAAGGCGGGGAUGACGUCAAAUCGGCACGGCCCUUUCAUCCGGGGCGACACACGUGUUACAAUGGCGUGGACAAAGGGAAGCCACCUGGCGACAGGGAGCGAAUCCCCAAACCACGUCUCAGUUCGGAUCGGAGUCUGCAACCCGACUCCGUGAAGCUGGAUUCGCUAGUAAUCGCGCAUCAGCCAUGGCGCGGUGAAUACGUUCCCGGGCCUUGUACACACCGCCCGUCAAGCCAUGGGAGCCGGGGGUACCUAAAGUCCGUAACCGCGAGGAUCGGCCUAGGGUAAAAC